rnacentral:tRNA from 1 species
GCCUGGCUGGCUCAGUCAUAGAGCAUGUGACUCUUGAUCUCGGGUUAUAAGUUUGAGCCCUAUGUUGGGUG